CCUACGGGUGGCUGCAGUGGGGAAUAUUGGACAAUGGGGGGAACCCUGAUCCAGCCAUGCCGCGUGUGUGAAGAAGGCCCUCGGGUUGUAAAGCACUUUCAGUGAGGAAGAACGCCUGGUGGUUAAUACCCAUCAGGAAAGACAUCACUCACAGAAGAAGCACCGGCUAACUCCGUGCCAGCAGCCGCGGUAAUACGGAGGGUGCGAGCGUUAAUCGGAAUUACUGGGCGUAAAGCGCGCGUAGGUGGCUUGAUAAGCCGGUUGUGAAAGCCCCGGGCUCAACCUGGGAACGGCAUCCGGAACUGUCAAGCUAGAGGGCAGGAGAGGAAGGUAGAAUUCCCGGUGUAGCGGUGAAAUGCGUAGAGAUCGGGAGGAAUACCAGUGGCGAAGGCGGCCUUCUGGACUGACACUGACACUGAGGUGCGAAAGCGUGGGUAGCAAACAGGAUUAGAUACCCGGGUAGUC
rnacentral:rRNA from 1 species